UCAAUGGCAUUGACCAGUACGGCGAGUGAGCGGCAACAGCUCAAAUUUGAAAUCUGGCCCCUCGGGCCCGAGUUGUAAUUUGUAGAGGAUGCUUUUGGCAAGGUGCCGCCCGAGUUCCCUGGAACGGGACGCCGCAGAGGGUGAGAGCCCCGUCUGGCUGGCCACCGAGCCUCUGUAAAGCUCCUUCGACGAGUCGAGUAGUUUGGGAAUGCUGCUCAAAAUGGGAGGUAUAUGUCUUCUAAAGCUAAAUAUUGGCCAGAGACCGAUAGCGCACAAGUAGAGUGAUCGAAAGAUGAAAAGCACUUUGAAAAGAGGGUUAAACAGUACGUGAAAUUGUUGAAAGGGAAGCGCUCAUGACCAGACUUGGGCUUGGCGAAUCAUCCGGCGUUCUCGCCGGUGCACUUCGCCUCGCCCAGGCCAGCAUCAGUUCGCGCCGGGGGACAAAAGCUUCGGGAAUGUGGCUCCUCCGGGAGUGUUAUAGCCCGUUGCAUAAUACCCUGGGGCGGACUGAGGUUCGCGCAUCUGCAAGGAUGCUGGCGUAAUGGUCAUCAGCGACCCGUCUUGAACCACGGACCCA
rnacentral:rRNA from 1 species